rnacentral:tRNA from 1 species
CGUUCUGUGGCGAAGUUGGCUAACGCGCCCCGUCUAGCGAACUGGCGGGGCGUGAGUUCAAAGCUCACCACAACUA